rnacentral:misc_RNA from 1 species
GAUGAAGAACGUAGCGAAAUGCGAUAAGUAAUGUGAAUUGCAGAAUUCAGUGAAUCAUCGAAUCUUUGAGCGCACAUUGCGCCCACUAGUAUUCUGGUGGGCAUGCCUGUUCGAGCGUCAUUUCAACCAUCAAGCCUGGCUUGGUGUUGGGGCUCUGCGUCUGCAGUCCCUUAAAUCCAGUGGCGGACACGCUAGGUCUCCGAGCGCAGUAGUUUCUCCUCGCUCAGGGCGUCCGGCGUGGGCUUGCCUCGCACCCAUCUUUUACACGGUUGACCUCGGAUCAGGUAGGAAUACCCGCUGAACUUAAGCAUAUCAAUAAGCGGAGGA